AUGUCCUUAAGUCACAGUUAAUUCAUUUAAUGCACACUUUAAGUGUCUACUGUCAGGCACUGUCCUAGAUGUGGGAGGUUCAGUAAAAAGAAACCCACAUAGUCACACAGCCUUUGUGGAGCUCACAUUUGAAUGUUGCAUCAAGUCGAGUUCACCUGAUGCAUUGUUCUUUACUCCAAGGUGCUUCCAGCUCCAUCAGGAGGAUUGGGUGGGUGUCCUGGGUCCAGAAGAAUGGAGACUACCAACCUCUUUGCUCCUAUUACAACCCUCCCUUGCCUGCACCACCCACUGCCCUUACUUUUGCAUUUGUUAUUCACAUCAUAGAAUUUAAAGCAAGUCACACGGUUUCUCACAUUACCUACAUUUUACUCAGACGUUCUAGUUCUCAUACACAUUCUCUUACAACCUUUUCCAGGGCUAACUCCAUGGAAUGAUUUUUGGUCUUUUUGUUUUGUCUUGUUUUGUUUUUGAGAGAGAGUCUUGCUCUGUCACCCAGGCAGUGGCAUGGUCUCAGCUCACUGUAAACUCCGCCUCCCAAGUUCAAGUGUUUCUCCUGGAUUCAAG
rnacentral:lncRNA from 1 species